rnacentral:rRNA from 1 species
AUUGAACGCUGGCGGCAGGCCUAACACAUGCAAGUCGAGCGGAUGAAGGGAGCUUGCUCCUGGAUUCAGCGGCGGACGGGUGAGUAAUGCCUAGGAAUCUGCCUGGUAGUGGGGGAUAACGUCCGGAAACGGGCGCUAAUACCGCAUACGUCCUGAUGGAGAAAGUGGGGGAUCUUCGGACCUCACGCUAUCAGAUGAGCCUAGGUCGGAUUAGCUAGUUGUUGGGGUAAAGGCCUACCAAGGCGACGAUCCGUAACUGGUCUGAGAGGAUGAUCAGUCACACUGGAACUGAGACACGGUCCAGACUCCUACGGGAGGCAGCAGUGGGGAAUAUUGGACAAUGGGCGAAAGCCUGAUCCAGCAAUGCCGCGUGUGUGAAGAAGGUCUUCGGAUUGUAAAGCACUUUAAGUUGGGAGGAAGGGCAGUAAGUUAAUACCUUGCUGUUUUGACGUUACCAACAGAAUAAGCACCGGCUAACUUCGUG